rnacentral:rRNA from 1 species
GUCUACUACCAUGCCACCCUGAAUAAGCCCGAUCUCAUCUGAUCUCAGAAGCUAAGCAGGUUCAGGCCUGGUUAGUACUUGGAUGAAGACCACCUAUGAAGAUCAGGUGCUGUAGGCG